UACGUAGGGGGCAAGCGUUGUCCGGAAUCAUUGGGCGUAAAGAGCGCGUAGGCGGCCCUGUAAGUCCGCUGUGAAAGUCAAGGGCUCAACCCUUGAAUGCCGGUGGAUACUGCAGGGCUAGAGUCCGGAAGAGGCGAGUGGAAUUCCUGGUGUAGCGGUGAAAUGCGCAGAUAUCAGGAGGGACACCGAUGGCGAAGGCAGCUCGCUGGGACGGUACUGACGCUGAGGCGCGGAAGCGUGGGGAGCAAACAGG
rnacentral:rRNA from 1 species